AACGAACGCUGGCGGCGUGUUUAAGACAUGCAAGUCGCACGGGGUCAUUUGAGUAGUAACACGAGGAUGGCUUAGUGGCGCACGGGUGAGUAACACGUGAAUUACAUGCCCUUUAGAGGGGGAUAGCCCAGGGAAACUUGGAUUAAUACCCCAUGGUCUCGCAAGAGUAAAGGUGGCCGCAAGGCUGUCGCUAAAGGAUGGGUUCGCGCCCUGUCAGCUUGUUGGCGGGGUAACGGCCCACCAAGGAUAGGACGGGUACCUGGUUUGAGAUACAGAUCAGGCACACUGAAACUGAGACACGGUCCAGACACCUACGGGUGGCAGCAGUCGAGAAUAAUUCACAAUGGGGGAAACCCUGAUGGUGCAACGCCGCGUGGAGGAUGAAGGUCUUCGGAUUGUAAACUCCUGUCAUCUGGGAGUAAGACCUGGGCGUGAAUCGCGCACAGGGUUGAUAGUACCAGAAGAGGAAGGGACGGAUAACUUCGUGCCAGCCGCCGCCGUAAUAC
rnacentral:rRNA from 1 species